UACAGAGGUGGCAAGCGUUGUUCGGAAUUACUGGGCGUAAAGGGCGCGUAGGCGGUUCGUUAAGUCCUGUGUGAAAUCCCCCGGCUCAACUGGGGAACUGCACAGGAAACUAGCGGGCUUGAGUUCGGGAGAGGGAAGCGGAAUUCCGGGUGUAGCGGUGAAAUGCGUAGAUAUCCGGAGGAACGACCGGUGGCGAAGGCGG
rnacentral:rRNA from 1 species